UCUUUGCUUUGUCAUCAGAGAAUAUUUAUGACUUCCAAAGAAGGGCUGAGUUCCUGGAGACUGGAUAACACGUGGCUUUAUCCUGCCAGACAGAGUUCCUUUUGGUGGUCACAUGAAUGUGUUUUUUUCCCCCCGUACUCCCACGGACACCACAACGUUUUUGGACGAGGAAGAAGAUGAUAGAACACAGAUGAUGGAAAGAAAUGGCCUCAGAACUUGGAUAUGUGGGGGUAUUUUUACCCUUUGGGGUUUUUUCUUCCUGAAUGUCAAUGAGUGACUUAUUGGAAAGUUCUCCGGGCCUUGAGAAGAAGAAUCCUGCAAUCAUCUGUCACAGAUAGUGCCUCCAGCAAUGGAUCUUGGAAUCUGCAUUACCCUGGGCAGUGCUACAACACUUGAAAACAAUGGCAUGUCUUCUGUGCCUGCCUCUUAGCAGGCUUACUACAGUAGCAUAAGGGACGGCGUUUCUUUCUCAAGUUGGGAAAGGAGGAAGAAGAACAGGAGCCACUGGCUGUGAAUGUGGUUUAAUAGGCUGCAACUUUAUUUUAAAUGUCUGGGAGUAGCUGGCAGAUAAGUGUACA